rnacentral:rRNA from 1 species
GACGAACGCUGGCGGCGUGCUUAACACAUGCAAGUCGAACGGAAAGGCCCUGCUUUUGUGGGGUGCUCGAGUGGCGAACGGGUGAGUAACACGUGAGUAACCUGCCCUUGACUUUGGGAUAACUUCAGGAAACUGGGGCUAAUACCGGAUAGCAGCUCCUGCUGCAUGGUGGGGGUUGGAAAGUUUCGGCGGGUGGGGAUGGACUCGCGGCUUAUCAGCUUGUUGGUUGGGUAGUGGCUUACCAAGGCUUUGACGGGUACCCGGCCUGAGAGGGUGACCGGCCACAUUGGGACUGAGAUACGGCCCAGACUGCUACGGGAGGCAGCAGGGGGGAAUAUUGCACAAUGGGCGGAAGCCGGAGGCAGCAACGCCGCGUGCGGGAUGACGGCCUUCGGGUUGUAAACCGCUUUCGCCUGUGACGAAGCGUGAGUGACGGUAAUGGGUAAAGAAGCACCGGCUAACUACGUG